UCCUACGGGAGGCAGCAGUAGGGAAUAUUGGUCAAUGGACGAAAGUCUGAACCAGCCAUUCCGCGUGCAGGAUGACGGUCCUAUGGAUUGUAAACUGCUUUUAGCAGAGAAGAAACGCCUUCAUUUAUGAGGGUCUGACGGUAUCUGCGGAAUAAGCACCGGCUAACUCCGUGCCAGCAGCCGCGGUAAUACGGGGGGUGCAAGCGUUAUCCGGAAUCACUGGGUUUAAAGGGUGCGUAGGCGGGACAUUAAGUCAGUGGUGAAAGUCUGUUGCUUAACAAUAGAAUUGCCGUUGAUACUGGUGUUCUUGAAUUGGGUUGAGGUUAGCGGAAUGUGACAUGUAGCGGUGAAAUGCAUAGAUAUGUCAUGGAACACCAAUUGCGAAGGCAGCUAGCUGGGCCUUGAUUGACGCUGAGGCACGAAAGCGUGGGGAGCAAACAGGAUUAGAUACCCUGGUAGUCCACGCCCUAAACGAUGCUAACUCGAUGUUUGCCUGUAAAGGGUGAGCAUCCAAGGGAAACCGAUAAG
rnacentral:rRNA from 1 species